CUUUCUUUAAGUUUUUGGGAGUCCUUUGUAUGGAUCUUCUAAUGCGUAGAAGGGCUUAACACAGAUUUUUCCUCUGUCUGGAGUCAGGGGUGAGCAGGCCCUGCUGCUGUCAGCUGUGCAAGCAGCGCAGACAGCACGUGUUUCAGCCUCAGAAGUUCUGCAGUUACUUGGCUUCAGACACAUGGAAGUUUUACCUGAGUAACGACAGGAAGAUAAGGCUCAUUAGCUAAUUACUUCUCCCAACGCCCAGGUCACACCCCUUCCCUACCGGCUGGGCACAGGUGUGUUGGACAUGCAGAUGUGCACAAACAUGCCCUUUGCAGAGCAGCAUCUCCCCUCUGUGCAGUGCCUGCUGUGCCUCAGCACGUGUUGUGCCCCUAAGUGCGGGUGAUUUGAAGAUACAUUUUUAUUGCACAAUUGAGCCACCGUGCCCUGGGAUAUCUUAGGUCUCAUCUUGGUGGAAUUCCCUACCUGUGUAUUCCUUGGUGUUCCAGAGUUACCUGUGUUACCUCACAGCUGUAUUUGUGAUGCAUAAAAAGGUGCUUUUAGCACGGAAUGUGCAAUCGUUGAGUUUUAAAAACAUUUAAUUGGGGGGAAAAAUUGGAACAGGAAAGGACAAAGCUCGCCUCGCAGGAAACACGGUCUUGUGGAGGAAGUACAACCAUUUGGUUUGGGGACAGAACACCCCCUGCAGUGUCACAGUUACAGAAUCACAGGAUGGCUUGAGUUGGAAGGGGCCUUUAAAGGUCGUUUAGUCCAACCCCCCUGCAACAAGCAUGGCACCCCCAUGCACCUGUGAAGAAACAGUAGGUUUUCUUGGAUCCUUUGAUGUGAAUUUGCUGGCAGUGACUCCCUUCAGGCAUGAAUUCCUCACCAGCA
rnacentral:lncRNA from 12 species